CAGGCCCACGCACAGGGAGAUCAGGUCAGACAGCAUGUUGAACGAGUCCGAGAGCAGCGCGAUGGAGUUGCCCAGGUACCCCGACACCAGCUCGGCCACGAAGAAGGCCACGGUCUGCUUCCAAAUGACAGUCACUCCAAGGGAACGUGUCCAGGACAUUCCACACAGCAGAUCCUUCAGAAAGGUUGCUGUUGGUCACUUCAGCGGGAGCUGGGAGGGAAAAAAAAAAAGAAAUCAGCAGAAACAUAUCUCUCCUGCCUCCUGGUUGGUUAGUCAUUCUCUCAGCCAAGGGAAGAUAAGAAUUGUGUCACUGGCCCAGGAGCAAUACAUUAAGAAAAGCCAGAGGCUGAGGACCAGGAGGUGUCACAGAUGUCUGAUGUCCCUGUACUCAGCCAGUUCCUGACCACAAGGAGAGUGACCUCCAUGCUUGCAUCCGGAUGUGGGGGCCACAGGCUUGACACACUCCUUCCUUCUCAUCACCACAGCCUCAGAUUUGAAAAGACAGGGAUGCUUCAACUUUGAUUGUCUGGAAGCCAGGCUUAGAAUCCUGUGCCACCUCCAGCCAUGUCCUGAGGCUGCUCUAUCCAGCAUGAGAAAGCCACAUGGACAGGUCAUCUGUCGGCUCUCUGGCCAGAGGUCCUGAGCAUCAAGACCUACCAGACCAUGUGCCAGACCCGUGACUGGAUCCUCCAGCCACAAAGUGUCCUCGGUCUACCAGGCCACUCCCAGCUUCUGAGUCUCCGCAGGUGAGACCUCAGACGCUGUGUGUACAGGCAGGCUGUUCACACUGUGUCCUUUCCAAGCCUGAAAUUGCAGAAAAUCUGGGUAUAAAUUGGAGGUGUUUUAUUAGACACUAACCAGAAGAGCCAUGUGGCCACUACACAGGAGCAUCUGUGGAACUUGGAACUAUUUAAGCAAAGCCCAGAGAAACUCGCAUAAAAUAUUUACGGUAUAGCAAACAAAACAAGAAAGAAUUGGGACUAUCGAGACACAUACAGGGAAUACUGAUUGGGAUCAAGGCAGGGCAGUGAUCCUUUGAAUUGGGCCUAGGGUAGAGGCUAGGUUUAACUAGAAAAUGCCUUUUGAGUGAGAAUAUCCAGCUCAGGGUGAGAGCUGACACGAUUUGUUUGGACAGCAGUUGCUUUUGGCCGACCUAUAAGACAUUGACUUCAUUCCUCUCCUUGUGAUUAGAAAACAACAACAAGAAAACCUAUGUUUGAAAAACAAACGUCUGACCCAGAAAAGAACAAAGACGAGGAAGGCGGUCCAAUAAGGGCACCAGCCUUCCAUAUGGCGGGCGCAGGAAGGAGGCCAAGUGUAGAGCUUAAUUAAACCGUCAGGCCACUAGCACCCAGCCGAGCCUUCCUUCGGGAGAGCACAGAGCAGAGCACAGGAGGCCCAUCUCCAGCCUCAGAGCUGAUGUGAAAUGCCUGGAGAAGCACAGAACAUAAAUGGAACCCGAGCCUGGAAGGUCCCUGACUCUGAGGGCACCGGGCAGUCACAUAAUGCAGACACACAUGCAGGCAAAACACCCCCACACACAAAUAAAAGUAAAUAAAUGUUUAAAAGCCAAAACCUAAGUAAAAGUAAAAUCUGGAAUGGUAAGCUGAGGCUGGAGUCUGACUUGGAGAAAGCUGUAUCAGUCCAACAAGAAAAACACCUCAUCUCUUGGUUUUAACAGACAUGACUGUAUGCAGCUUGAAAGAUUAAAGGUUGAGGGAUGCCAAGUGGAGAGGUGCACCAAAGAUCCUCUUAUGAGGCUAGAUCCCUCAGCGGAAAAUUCCAAUUCAAACACAACAGUUAAAUACAGAGAAUCCCACUGCUCUGAGGAGCGCAGCAAGUAGAGGGGAAUAUAUUAACCUCGGUGGUGGGCAGAGAGAAAAGUGUCUGCAUGGAAGCUGAAGCUGACAUGGGAGUGUGGACAAAAUACAGACUGUCCAUAAAAUGAUAACAAGAAGAAAUGCCAGGCCAAUCGUUUAAAUGUACCCGAGCUCGUUCUGCACCAAAGCACCGGUGGGUUUUGUUUUGUUUAGAAUUUAUUUAUUUUUAUUUUAUGUGCAUUAGUGUAUGUAUGUCUGUGUGAGGGUGUUGAGCACCCUGGAACUGGAAUUACAGACAGGUGUGAGCUGCCAUGUGGGUGCUGGGAAUCGAACCUGGGUCCUCUGGAAGAGCAUUCAGUGCUCUUAACCGCUGAACCAUCUCUCCAGCCCUUGUUUUUUUGUUUUGUUUUGUUUUGUUUUGUUUUGUUUUGUUUUUUAGGCAGGCUCUCCCGAGGCAGCCCUAGGCAUCCUGGAACUGCCUAUGUAGACCAGGCUGCCUCUGCCCCCCAAGUGCUGGGACUAAAUGUGUACGCCACCACACCAGCAGAUCUGUGUUUGAGAAUGUACCUGUGUAGUGCUGGAGAGAUGGCUCAGCAGUUAAGAGAACAGGCUGCUCUUCCACAGGACCCUAGUUCAAUUCCCAGCCCCAUGUGGCUACUCACAGCUGUCUGUAUUUCCAGUCCCAGGGAAUCCAAUGCCCUCUCCUGGCCUCUGUGGGCACCAGCCAUGCAGGUGGUACAGACAUCCGCACACAGGCAAAAUUCUUAUAUACAGUUUUUUAAAAUCAAGUAGAAACAUGCAAAGAUCUUUAAAAUCUAUGCUUAUAUCCUACAUUUCAACAAAACAAAGUCUCAGGGAAAAAAAUCAUUAAACAUUAGUUCACGAUGGAAAAUUGCAAAGCGCACAAACCAUCUGGGGUGGCACACACCUAGAGCUCUAAUUCUUAGGAAGCACAGAAAGGAAGGUGGAAGGUUCAAGGCCAGCCUGGGUUACACAGGCAAACCCAGCCUCAAAAACAGAAAGUCAUAAAACAAGACACCCAGAGAGAAACAGCAAACACAGUAAACAACAGAGGGACGGAGGCCACGGGAACCAGCUGUAAAAUGUAUAUGCUUAUUGGAAAGGAAAAGUCUUGUGAAGCCCUGGUUUGAUCCCCAAAAUAAAAAACAAAACAAAACAGGAAAAUAUGAAGAAGAUGAAUAAAUAGUUAAAAUUAAAGCUCCUCCCCUGCAGGGGUCAGUGUUGAGGUCCUAAUGAGGGGGCAGGACUCCUGCCCCUGCCAACUCACAGAAGCCCAGGGACAAACCUUGGACUUCUGCCACCAACUGGCAAUAAACAACACGGCUUUGGGUCACCAGCCUGUCAGGAGGAUGAGCCAGAAUCUCACAAUACCUAAACGUCCAGGCCCAACAGAAAGUCUUUCCUUCUACUAAAAACUAGGGAAAACGCAACUUGCAUGGACAAGACACCAAAUUUGAGGUGGCAAGCGUGUCGGAAUCAUCUGGUAAAUAAGGAUUUUUAAAGUAGUCAUAACCAUGUUUUUGGCAGUUAGUUAUGAACAUACUUGAAAGGAAUUAAAAAAUUCUCAGCAAAAAAUACAAGGUAUAAAGAGAAGUGGAGGGCUGAGGAAACGGCUUUCCUAACCAGCAUGAGGACUGGCGUUUCAUCCACAGAUCCCACAUAAAACGUCAGACAUGCUGGUACACUUAGAAUCCCAAUGCUGGGGAGGCAGAGACAGGAAGAUCCUUGGGCUCUCUGUCAGUCUAGACAAUUUAGAGACCUCGAGGCCAGUGAGAGACCCUGCCUCAAAAACACUAGGUUGACAGAGCUGAAGAACCACACUGGGAGGCUGACCUCUGGCCUCCACACACAACACACAUGGGCACCUGAACAUGUGUGUACACACACAACAUAAACAAAAUUUUUUAAAAAAUGAUUCAGAAACUUUAACAGUAAAAAUAUAAGGACCCAAAUAAGAACUCAAUGGAUGGGCUGAGCAGCAGAGAUGAGAAUUCAGAGUGAGGAAUCACUGAAUUUGAAGAUAAAAUAAUAGAAUGUACCCUAUCUUUUUUCUUUCUUUCUAUUUUGAGACAUGGUUUCUCUGGGUUAGCCCUGGCUGUCCUGCAACUCACUCUGUAGACCAGGCUGGUCUCAAACUCGCAGAGAUCUGCCUGCCUCUGCCUCCCAAGUGCUAGGAUUAAAGGCGUGUGCCAGCAUACCAGGCCAAAAGUACCUUAUCUUAGCACUAGAAAAUAGAAAUAGGAAGGGGGGAGGGAGGGAGAAGGGAGGACACAGGAAGGGAGGGGAGGAAGGCAGGAGAUGAGGGGGCAAAGAACAGCAUGGGGAAGAAAAAGUAAAAUAAGGAUGCCCUUAGGUUCACUCACACUGGAAGUCCACAGCAAUUUAGAAAGGUGUAUAAUAACACAGAAAGCAACAACUAGCAGGGCCACAUGCCAAGAUGUCCUCAGAAAUACAGCAGAAAACUCAAGAACAGAACUCUGAAAACAUUCAAGGAAAGCAAAAAAGGAAAAAGAGAAAAAAAUUUAAAAGACCAAACAAAAAAUUGAAAACAGUAGACACGAACCCUGCCCUCCAACAACAGCAUUAAAUAUAAGUGGUUUAAUAGCCAAUGAAAAUGAGCUGAGAGGCUGAAAAGCACUCAAUGGACGUCCAUACAAAGGACACCAGCCGCUGACGUCUGAGCAGCUUUGAUGGGUCUUAAGAGCAUUGUCCUGAGAGAGAAAAGCCAUUUCAAAGGUUGCAUGGGAUGCCCAGCAUAUCAACACAGCAUUCUUGAAAUAAAAAGACUGCCGUGGGCGGAUUAAUGGUUUCCAGGGCACAGGUGAGGGUAAGAGUGGUGGAUGUGGCUGGUGAACAGCAGCAGGAGGGCUGUCUGGGGCUUUAACAGUCCUAGCUCUUGGUCUGGGUGGUAGUUACAGAUCUACAUGUGAUAUGUUCACAAACUCCAAAUGUCCGUUUCUUGGUUUUGAUUUUGUUAAUGUUUCGGUUUCACUGGGGCAAACUAGACGAAGUGUCUGCGAAGCCUCUUGGUAUUGUCCUUGUAAUUUUUUAAUCUUGACAAAAAUAACAGUUUUUGUUUA